CCUACGGGGGGCAGCAGUGAGGAAUAUUGGUCAAUGGACGGAAGUCUGAACCAGCCAUGCCGCGUGCAGGAAGACGGCUCUAUGAGUUGUAAACUGCUUUUGUACAAGGGUAAACCUGAAUACGUGUAUUCAGCUGAAAGUACUGUACGAAUAAGGAUCGGCUAACUCCGUGCCAGCAGCCGCGGUAAUACGGAGGAUCCAAGCGUUAUCCGGAUUUAUUGGGUUUAAAGGGUGCGUAGGCGGAUUGAUAAGUUAGAGGUGAAAUUGCCGGGCUUAACUCGGGAACUGCCGCUAAAACUGUUGAUCUAGAGAGUAGAUGCGGUAGGCGGAAUGUAUGGUGUAGCGGUGAAAUGCUUAGAGAUCAUACAGAACACCGAUUGCGAAGGCAGCUUACCAAUCUAUAUCUGACGUUGAGGCACGAAAGCGUGGGGAGCAAACAGGAUUAGAUACCCUGGUAGUC
rnacentral:rRNA from 1 species